rnacentral:rRNA from 1 species
UACGGAGAGUGCAAGCGUUGCUCGGAAUUACUGGGCGUAAAGCGCGCGUAGGCGGGACUUUAAGUCGGAUGUGAAAGGCUGCGGCUCAACCGUAUGUAGUGCAUUCGAUACUGGAGACCUAGAGUUCGGCAGAGGAAAGUGGAAUUCCCGGUGUAGAGGUGAAAUUCGUAGAUACCGGGAGGAACACCAGUGGCGAAGGCGACUUUCUGGGCCUGAACUGACGCUGAGGUGCGAAAGCGUGGGGAGCAAA